CUGAGAGCACCGUUACACAAUGUUUCCUUAACAUGGUGGCUUGGUAUUGUACUGAUUAGCCCUUAUUGUCAUGGACCAAAAAUCCUGGGGUUCCUGUCAGACCCCUGUGGGAUGUCAGUGGGAUCUACCAGACCAACGGUGGGCCAAGCUAAAGAUGUUAGUCCAGAAGAAGACAGGGAAGAGAAAAGUAAAAGACCAACCACAGGAAGUUCCUCCUGGGCCUGAUGACGUCACUUCCGGUUCCAGCUUGAUGACAUAAUUUCCAGUUACUCCCCAAAUUACGUCAUUUCCACUUUCUGGCUUUAAAACGGCCAUAUUCUUUCUGUUACCUCAGUUCUGUGUUGGACUCAUGCCUGUAAAGAUCUUUUACUCAAUUUUGCCUUUUUUAUGCCAAACUUUCAAGUAGCCGAUACAGGGUGGCUGCCCCAAACCAUUUUGU